ACACCGCAGGGCCGCACGCCGUCGCCGCCGCCGCUCUUCCCUCCCGCCCUCCCUCCGACACGGCCGCCGCGCGCCGUCCGCCGCCGCAUCCCAGGAGCGACACCUGCGACGACCGCGCCGCGCUGCCUGCUUCCGCUCGCGAUUGCGGAUUCUGCUGACGGAGGCCUCGGGGAGAGCUGUGCUUUCGGGAGAGGAAAAGAGAAGAAAUAAGGGCGUUGACGUGGAGUGUGUGUGUGUGCGCGAAGUGUGAUAAACAAAAUUAGAGAAGGGGCCAUAAAAUAAAAUUAAAA